rnacentral:rRNA from 1 species
GCGUGCGGGAGCUUACCAUGCAGUCGAGGGGCAGCGAGGGUAGCAAUACCUGUCGGCGACCGGCGCAAGGGUGCGUAACGCGUGAGCAACAUGCCCGUAUCAGGGGGAUAAUCCAGGGAAACUUGGUCUAAUACCCCAUAGUAAUUUGUUAUGGCAUCAUAAUAGAUUUAAAGCUUUGGUGGAUACGGAUUGGCUCGCGUGACAUUAGCUAGAUGGUAAGGUAACGGCUUACCAUGGCUACGAUGUCUAGGGGUUCUGAGAGGAAGGUCCCCCACACUGGAACUGAGACACGGUCCAGACUCCUACGGGAGGCAGCAGUGAGGAAUAUUGGACAAUGGAUGGAAAUCUGAUCCAGCCAUGCCGCGUGCAGGAAGACGGCCCUAUGGGUUGUAAACUGCUUUUGUAUGGGAGCAAUAAGCUAUUUGCGAAUAGUGAUGAGAGUACCAUACGAAUAAGCAUCGGCUAACUCCGUGCCAGCAGCCGCGGUAAUACGGAGGAUGCAAGCGUUAUCCGGAUUUAUUGGGUUUAAAGGGUGCGUAGGCGGUUCGGUAAGUCAGUGGUGAAAGUUUACUGCUUAACAGUAAAAAUGCCAUUGAUACUGUCGGGCUAGAAUAUGGUUGCUGUGGGUGGAAUGUGUGGUGUAGCGGUGAAAUGCUUAGAUAUCACACAGAAUAUCGAUUGCGAAGGCAGCUCACAAAGCCAUUAUUGACGCUGAGGCACGAAAGUGUGGGGAUCAAACAGGAUUAGAUACCCUGGUAGUCCACACUGUAAACGAUGAUAACUCGCUGUCGGCGAUACACAGUCGGUGGCCAAGCGAAAG